rnacentral:sRNA from 5 species
CGACCCACCAAUUUAACAUCAAACUCAGAUGUUGAACGUGAAGGAUAACGUUGCGUCAGCAACGGCCCGUAGGGCGAGGCGAAGCCGAGUCAUCCUGCACGACCCACCA